UGAGAAGGACUAAAGCACAAGAAUAAAGGAGGACAUGGACAGCUGAAGCAAAAUCUAGGGGCAGGAGCAAGAGAGACAUCUGUGCUACAUUACAAUCUGCUAAUCCUCUAUGAGUCCUCCCUUGAUCUCAGCUCUCCUUCCUAGAGUCAAUGCAGCAAGGGUACCCCUUACCCUCCACUGAGGUCUACCAGGAACCCCUAAAAGGACAGAGGGCAGUGAACAUGGGGUCUCUGCCUGAAGUGACCAGGCAAAUAAAAUGACAGGAGAGAAUUCUGGCUAAGUGCCCUGUGUCUGGAGGCUGGAUGCCUGGAUUCAAACGUGAAUUCACUCCUAUUUUACCCCAUGACCUAAUACAAGUUAUAUUUAAAUGCUGUGCUCCCUUAUUCAUCUGUGAAGUGACAAUACUGUUCAUUCCUCUUUCUUGGUGGUGAUUACGCAGUUGAAAUGAAACAAGCUACAUGGAACACUUAGAGCCUGGAACCUAGGAAAUCCUCAAUGAAGAAUCAUGAUACCAUGUUUACUGUCUUAUCCUCAUCCACGUCCUCACUUCAUGAUUUUGGAGUACUUAGGGGACAGUUUAGAGAGAACUGCUUCCUGCUAUCGUGGGGGUAAUGCCCAUGGGAACUAGAACUAAUGUGGGAGGAAAGCAGAACUCUGAAUGAGAGCUCUUGGACCCCACCAGAACAGAUGGCUACCUCUCCUUGUAACACAAUAAAAUGGUGAUAGAAUGGCGACAUCCAAAAAAAUUUUAAAAUGGGCAGAAAACCUGAAUAGACUUUAUUUUAAAGGCAAUAUGAAGAUGGCCAACAGACACAUGGAAAGAUGCUCAACAUCACUAAUCAUCAGGGAGAAGCAAAUCAAAACCUCUUGUCAGAAUGGCUAUUAUCAAAAAGAUAAGAGAAAUAAAUGGUGAUGAGGAUGUGAAGAAAAGGGAACCCUCCUGUACUUUUGUUGAGAAUGUAAAUUGAUGCAGCCACCAUGGAAAACAGUAUGGAGAUUCCUCAAAAAAUUAAAAAUAGAAGUACCAGCAGUUCCACUUCUGGAAUUUUAAAUAAAUGGAAUCAGGAGGAGCUUCAAGAUGGCAGAAGAGUAAGACAUGGAGAUCACCUUACUCCCCACAAAUACAUCAGAAAUACAUCUACAUGUGUAACAACUCCUACAGAACACCUACUGAAUGCUGG